rnacentral:misc_RNA from 1 species
UUAUUUUGUUUAAAAAACGUUACAUUCACUGACUAAUGAUGGGUUUGAGAAGUAGCCGCUGCAAGAGCGGCGCGAGUGUGCACUCUGACCGGCCCGAAGGCCGGCGUUCUCUAUGAUGAUCCUUCCGCAGGUUCACCUACGGAAA